CCGAUAACAGAGGGUCUAAAAUUCUCAGUUCAGUAGACCAGGCUGGCCCCAGGCACUGGCUGUGUUAUCACUGGCAGGCAGACACACUCAUACCGGGGUAAUAAGUUUUCAGGCAUGGAGGGAGGGAGCAAUGGGACACACGAUAGCUCCUUCUGAUACCAGUGAUCUCCUGAGAAAACCACUGAGUGAGAGGUCAGGCUCACUCAUCGGGGGUCUUCACGAUGGGCAAUGCAGCUCUUCUACAGGCAAUCUCUGUGCCAAGCACCAUGCAAAAGCACACAGAAGAGCCCUGUGUUUAUUCAGCCUCCCUUUCUCUGGCCUUCAGUGAUCCUCAUGUCACAAAUGGGCAACUGCGGCUCAAAGAGAAGGUGAGUCAGAUGGAAACUUGAUUGGAAUGUGGCCUGGGUAAGCCACAUGUUUGCUGCAGGGCAGCACUCCAAGCUCCUUCCAGAUGGCUGUUUACUGGUGAGCUGGUUUUUGAAGGGCAAGCAAAAUAGCUAGAGUGGACUGUCUAAACCUGAGACAUCAGCACCUGAACAGAUAGGGAAGGAAGUGUGAAUGGGAAAGAAGAGUCCUGGCGGGCAGGAGCGGUGGUGGCUGCGGAUGGUGUAAUGGAGACGGGCAAUGUUUCAACAGCUCCUGAAGCUCCAGGUUCCUUCCAGUCCCAACAACCUCUUCAUCAUGUUUGCAACUGGCCUUGGGACCAUUUGGUGUUAAUUACAGCAACCCAGGCUUCUCUGUGUGAAGGAAAUCGUCCCUCAUUUCUCUCAUUAAAGUAAAAUAUGACCCGUUUU